rnacentral:sRNA from 1 species
CCAAGGGCUGACGCCCUUGGCUAUUCAGUGACGCCCCUGUCGGGGCU